AUUGCUUGGAAAAGGUGCAUAAUAUCGUUCAUGAAAGAGUAAGACAUGCAGUGUAGCUAGAAUCCGUAGUACAGGACGCCUUUCUUCUCCCUUCCUUCACUUUGAACUGGUGGAGAUGACUCUGGUGGAGAUGCUUUGGGGAGGACAAUGGACGAGUGGAGAGCACUAAGAUCGUAUUUGAUGAUGCCAAAUGAGUUACAUCUGUUUGCAGAGUCCAGCGAUGACUGAUAAGAAUUCAGUAGGUAUCAGGAAGUGCUUUACAUAAUUGCACAGA
rnacentral:lncRNA from 1 species